CGGUUAAGUUAGAAAGGGCGCACGGUGGAUGCCUUGGCACUAGGAGCCGAUGAAGGACGGGACGAACACCGAUAUGCUUCGGGGAGCUGUAAGCAAGCUUUGAUCCGGAGAUUUCCGAAUGGGGAAACCCACCACUCGUAAUGGAGUGGUAUCCAUAUCUGAAUACAUAGGAUAUGAGAAGGCAGACCCGGGGAACUGAAACAUCUAAGUACCCGGAGGAAGAGAAAGCAAAUGCGAUUCCCUGAGUAGCGGCGAGCGAAACGGGACCAGCCCAAACCAAGAGGCUUGCCUCUUGGGGUUGUAGGACACUCUGUACGGAGUUACAAAGGAACGAGGUAGAUGAAGAGGUCUGGAAAGGCCCGCCAUAGGAGGUAACAGCCCUGUAGUCAAAACUUCGUUCUCUCCUGAGUGGAUCCUGAGUACGGCGGAACACGUGAAAUUCCGUCGGAAUCUGGGAGGACCAUCUCCCAAGGCUAAAUACUCCCUAGUGAUCGAUAGUGAACCAGUACCGUGAGGGAAAGGUGAAAAGCACCCCGGAAGGGGAGUGAAAGAGAUCCUGAAACCGUGUGCCUACAAGUAGUCAGAGCCCGUUAACGGGUGAUGGCGUGCCUUUUGUAGAAUGAACCGGCGAGUUACGAUCCCGUGCAAGGUUAAGCAGAAGAUGCGGAGCCGCAGCGAAAGCGAGUCUGAAUAGGGCGAAUUGAGUACGUGGUCGUAGACCCGAAACCAGGUGAUCUACCCAUGUCCAGGGUGAAGUUCAGGUAACACUGAAUGGAGGCCCGAACCCACGCACGUUGAAAAGUGCGGGGAUGAGGUGUGGGUAGGGGUGAAAUGCCAAUCGAACCUGGAGAUAGCUGGUUCUCUCCGAAAUAGCUUUAGGGCUAGCCUCAAGGUAAGAGUCUCGGAGGUAGAGCACUGAUUGGACUAGGGGCCCCUACCGGGUUACCGAAUUCAGUCAAACUCCGAAUGCCGAUGACUUAUCCUUGGGAGUCAGACUGCGAGUGAUAAGAUCCGUAGUCGAAAGGGAAACAGCCCAGACCGCCAGCUAAGGUCCCAAAGUAUACGUUAAGUGGAAAAGGAUGUGGAGUUGCUUAGACAACCAGGAUGUUGGCUUAGAAGCAGCCACCAUUUAAAGAGUGCGUAAUAGCUCACUGGUCGAGUGACUCUGCGCCGAAAAUGUACCGGGGCUAAACGUAUCACCGAAGCUGCGGACUGUUCUUCGAACAGUGGUAGGAGAGCGUUCUAAGGGCUGUGAAGCAAGACCGGAAGGACUUGUGGAGCGCUUAGAAGUGAGAAUGCCGGUAUGAGUAGCGAAAGAGGGGUGAGAAUCCCCUCCACCGAAUGCCUAAGGUUUCCUGAGGAAGGCUCGUCCGCUCAGGGUUAGUCGGGACCUAAGCCGAGGCCGAAAGGCGUAGGCGAUGGAUAACAGGUUGAUAUUCCUGUACCACCUCCUCACCAUUUGAGCAAUGGGGGGACGCAGGAGGAUAGGGUAAGCGCGGUAUUGGAUAUCCGCGUCCAAGCAGUUAGGCUGGGAAAUAGGCAAAUCCGUUUCCCGUGAAGGCUGAGCUGUGAUGGCGAGCGAAUUAUAGUAGCGAAGUUCCUGAUUCCACACUGCCAAGAAAAGCCUCUAGCGAGGUGAGAGGUGCCCGUACCGCAAACCGACACAGGUAGGCGAGGAGAGAAUCCUAAGGUGAUCGAGAGAACUCUCGUUAAGGAACUCGGCAAAAUGACCCCGUAACUUCGGGAGAAGGGGUGCUCUGUUAGGGUGCAAGCCCGAGAGAGCCGCAGUGAAUAGGCCCAGGCGACUGUUUAGCAAAAACACAGGUCUCUGCGAAGCCGUAAGGCGAAGUAUAGGGGCUGACGCCUGCCCGGUGCUGGAAGGUUAAGAGGAGCGCUUAGCGUAAGCGAAGGUGCGAAUUGAAGCCCCAGUAAACGGCGGCCGUAACUAUAACGGUCCUAAGGUAGCGAAAUUCCUUGUCGGGUAAGUUCCGACCCGCACGAAAGGCGCAACGAUCUGGGCACUGUCUCAACGAGAGACUCGGUGAAAUUAUAGUACCUGUGAAGAUGC
rnacentral:rRNA from 1 species